AAACAAACAGUACAGACGCAUGCAGUUACGCGGCUGUCCGUGGUAAGUUUAUAAGAGUUGUUUCUACUCCACCUUGCUGUAGUACUUUCCACACUAUAGCUUGCUUUAAAACUUGUUAGGUUUGAGCUGCAUGGAACUAGGAGUGUUGUCAUCAAUAUAAGGUCUGAUUUCCUUCCUGGACCUCUUCAAUUCAUCCAUCUGUCCUCAUAAUCAUCUGUGGAGGAGAUUACGGUGUAAUGAACCUUGUCUAGAAUGUACUUGUGGCAUCCAAGGUCAUUACUAGCCUAUUAUUAGGAUCCCGGCCGGCAAUGGACAACAGCCUGACCAGCUGACUGAGCAAGAAGUAGAGAGGUAAAUAGUUCUCGUUGGAUGAGGGACCUGAAGUCAUAUUCCGUCAAUAGCCAAUGUCACUUUGACCUCUCUCCCUAGGAUAUACAUGACUAGAGAGUCGGCUUGGAUGGGCCCGUAGCACUUUUCCCUCUGACUGUCCUAGGUUGUGUGUGUGUGUAAGUGCUGGUAGGUCUGUGCUCAGAUUGCAUGCACACUGUAGCACAGUGGACCGGUGACUGUAGUUGCUCUGCAUGAAUUGUGUGGCACAGUGUUUGCUACAAACCUUCUACAGAGCCCAACCCACUCUCGUUAGCUUCACAUGUCUGGGUUUGCCUGCUCUGUGUGUUCGUCGUAACGCACAAUCACUCGUGGUGCAGUUUGAUUGUAUAGUUCCUUGCUGUAUGUACAUGUAGUAGGUGGAUGUGGUUGACUGGUUACUACUCUCUCUGUUUUGAUGUGAAGUUUUCUUCGCCAGCUGCCUAUAACCAGUUUAUUAAAGGGAAUAAAUAAGUCUGCUGCAUGGGACACUGGCCUAUAUAUAGGACCAUAGAGCAAGGACACAGACGCAGUCACAACAGUGAGUUCGGCUUUGAAGAUUCUUGAGUUGACAAGAGCGAGGGAGGACUGAGAAAUAGAGUGAGAAAAGUGGGGGAGUCAGUUACAGACGUUGACUUCCUGAUGGUGUUAAGCUGGAGUGUAUGAAGCUCACCUUGUUCAACCAGUCAAGAACAACAAGCGAGUCACCACAUUCAAAACAGUAGUCACCGCUGAGACCCCAAUUUGACCUUAUCGCUGUCAUUUGAUUCUGUUUGUCUGCGUUUUGGAUGCUUCAAGUUUAUUUUUAAGUUACUGCACUCCAUUUCACUACAGUUGAAGCUCUACUAGCAAUCAGCGCCAUGCAGUGGGAUAAAUUAAGUCCUGGACAGUUCGAGCAGUUACUGGAUUACGUCACAUGUAAGUACCAACUUUUGCUGCUUUUGUAAAUGUCCUAUUUUGUAAAUGUCCUAACAUGAAAUCGUCCGCCUCAGAACUAUUAUGAGGUCAUUUAUGGCAGUUUCAUAUAUACGUAAUGAUGAAAAGGUUCUUAAAUAAAAAA